UCCCUCAACUCUCUCUCUAUUUCUUCUCCCCCUCGCCUCUCUCUCUCGAAUCUCGAAUCUGUCGCCGCCGCUGCACGGGCGGCGGUUCCCCGGCCUCCCCACGCCUCGCACUGCCAGAGCAGUUUCCCGACGCCCCGACGGCCGCUGCCUCAUCGCCGACUCCUGAGAGGUGGGUGAAAUCAGUGAUGCAUCGGGCUGUGGGGCUGCUACUGUCGUCGAUAGGGUGCCGAAGAUUAGUCGCCGGAGUCCCGACAGAUUUAUACUCUCGAGACAAGUUCUUAUUUUGUGAAGAAUUGCUAUUUGUUGUUUUGGUAGCUAAAGUGAAGAAUUGUUAUUCUUGAUCUACAUGCUUAUAUGCAAAUUUUGAGAAAAGAAAAGUGCUUGGAGUUUACCUUCAUUACGUGGGAAAAUGUGUUGUUGGAUUGUGGGACUUGACCCUGUAAUUGUUUGCAACUCUCCCCCUUUUCUUACUCCUUCUCUCUCCUUUGGAUGGUUGAAAGUUUUGGAGUGAGUUCCUAUUGUUUUGAACAUACAUUGGCGGAUGUCGGUGACGUGUUGGACUUUGUUGGGAUGCUAGCAGUGUUGUCAAACGGGCUGCCCGAGACUUGCACAUCUUUCGCUUCCGAUCAUAAUAGGCUAGGCUUUAAUUAUAUUGUAAUAUUAGACUUGAUUCGUGUAUCGGGUAUUACGACUUUUACUUUGAAUUUAUUCUUUGGAUAGUCAUUGAAAAUAAUUGCUAAAUAGCACAAAAGUUUAUUAGAUGUCUCGUCUAUAUUUUCUUAACUCAAUGUAAGAUUCUUUCAUAUUUUAGUGCCGCUUUGAAAUAUCU